rnacentral:rRNA from 1 species
UACGUAGGGUGCAAGCGUUGUCCGGAAUUAUUGGGCGUAAAGAGCUCGUAGGUGGUCUGUCGCGUCGGCUGUGAAAACUCGGGGCUCAACUCCGAGCUUGCAGUCGAUACGGGCAGGCUAGAGUUCGGCAGGGGAGACUGGAAUUCCUGGUGUAGCGGUGAAAUGCGCAGAUAUCAGGAGGAACACCGGUGGCGAAGGCGGGUCUCUGGGCCGAUACUGACGCUGAGGAGCGAAAGCGUGGGGAGCGAACAGG